CCUGGCUUAGAUGCUUUGGCGCGUAUUGUUAUUGCUAUAUUUGAUGAUUAUUAUUGCACUUUAGCUCUAUUAUUUUUAUCUGAAUUAUCUUGUUUAAACCGAUAACCUGAGAAAUAAUUGAGAAUUGGUGAUUCUGCUGCCAUGUAGAUGUUGUAGAAUAACUUCUUUCACUUCAAAUUUGCAAACUUGAUGAAAAGAAUUUCUUAAAAAUUAUAUCUUAAGCUGUUUUCAACUGCUGAGGAAGUACUUUUCUGAAAAGCAUUGUAAUGUUUAUUGGCAAAUUCAGCUAUCAGCGCAACAUGUGAAGAUAUCGACUUAAAAUCCCC